rnacentral:rRNA from 1 species
UGAAGCAUNNNNGUUUAAUUCGAUAACCCACGACAAAUCUUACCACUUCUUGCAUAUUCAAGUUCAGAAUUAAGUGAAGGUCGAUUAAAUAAAAUACUAUCUAUAUUCUAUUAUAUUAUUAUAGUAUAGUAUAGUUAAGUUAUUAUAACUAGUAUUUUAUAUUUUAACUUUUCCUUAAUAACACUUGAAUACAGGUGUUGCAUGGCUGUCUUUAGUUCGUGUUGUGAAAUGUUAGGUUCAUUCCGUGAACGAACGCAAUCCUUGUCUUUAAUUACAUUCUUUGGAAUUCAAUUUCAUUAAACUAAAUAAAUGAAUGAAUUAGUUUAACUUUAAUUAAUUAAGUUCAUUCAGUGAACGAAUACAAUUAUCUUUAAUAUAUUAAUUGAAUAAAUUAAACUAACUUCAAUUGAAUUCAUAUUAACUAAAUCAAUUAAAGAAGUAUCUUUUGAUAAAAAAGAAUAAUUAGGACGAAGACAAGUCCUCAUGACCCUUAUGGAGUGGGCUACAGACGUGCCACAAAGAUUUCUACAAUGGGAAGCAAAGAUCCAAGUCCGAGCAAAUCCUUAAAAGAAAUUAUCAUAGUACGGAUAAGAAUCUGAAACNNNNNNCUUUGAAA